GAGAAAACAUGAGAUAACUCUCUAUAGUAGGAGAUUAAUUAAGUAGCCACUUUAAGGCUAUUAUUACAAAAGGAGGCUGCACUUAGGACAUUUGGAGAUCAAGGCCUAAUGCAACAAUUAAGAUAAGUUUGAGAUGAAGGUAGUGGCUGUUCUUCACCCUCGCAACAUUAGACUCUUGUUGAUUCCGGUCCGACCUUGCCUCGCUAAACUCAGAGCAUCUUUUUUUUUUUUUUUUAAUAUGGCAAAACAAGAAAUAUAAACUUUGUGAUACUAACAUUUUCUUUAAUUAACGCUAUACUAUUUCGGCAAACAGAGACAGAUCCAGGAUUUUACGUCAUUGGAUGCAGAUUCUUUUGUGUUAAGAAUAUAAACUCUGUGUUUGUAUAUGUAUAUAUGAAAAAAAUUCAAGUAUGUAUAUAUGUUCGAGCUUUAA